rnacentral:rRNA from 1 species
AGAGUUUGAUCCUGGCUCAGAGCGAACGCUGGCGGCAGGCUUAACACAUGCAAGUCGAGCGGGCGUAGNAAUACGUCAGCGGCAGACGGGUGAGUAACGCGUGGGAACGUACCUUUUGNUUCGGAACAACACAGGGAAACUUGUGCUAAUACCGGAUAAGCCCUUACGGGGGANGAUUUAUCGCCGAAAGAUCGGCCCGNGUCUGAUUAGCUAGUUGGUGAGGNAACGGCUCACCAAGGCGACGAUCAGUAGCUGGUCUGAGAGGAUGAUCAGCCCCAUUGGGACUGAGACACGGCCCAAACUCCUACGGGAGGCAGCAGUGGGGAAUAUUGGACANUGGGCGCAAGCUUGANUCNANCCAUNCCGNGUGANUAAUNAAGNCCCUAGNUUUNUAANGNCUUUUU